rnacentral:lncRNA from 1 species
UUGAAGCUCCUUCGGUGUCUCAAAGCCAUGAAAUCAAAGGAGGUUAUUGUACAAAUGGAGCUUAAAGUGGAAGGAAUACGGAGAAUAAAUGAAAAAAAUAAAUUAAUGGAAUUGAAGAAUUAAGAUGAUGACAUGAUAGGGGAUGAAAUUACGAGAACAUGGGCGAAAACGGCGAAGAAAACGGAGUUGAAACGAGAAAGUUAUGCUGAAAACAAAAUUGCAUGCUGAAGCCUACCAUAACUUACGAUGGCUACCGUAAUUUACGGUAGACCCUGAAUUUUCCCAUUUCCACCGUAAUACAGUAGUGUUUCACCGUAACAACUUGAAGUCACACGCAAAUUUAAUCCCAAUAACAACUAUAGAUAGCGGUAAAAGGGUAUCGAACUCAGGGAGUAUGUGGAAAGUGUGUUGAUUUUCUAGCCUCGCGAAUUAACUACAAUUAACCUAAUUUGCAGAAAAUAAAGUUUAAU